UGCAAGACAGUCGGAUUCUACAAGAAGGAAGUUGAAACCCAAGGUGGUAAUGGCACUAUUAUCGCAGAAUUUUGCCUAGAACCAGAGCACCUUUCCUCCCCUUGUUAUUUCUAAGAUGGAAGAAAUCCUGGAGGGCUCCUCGGAGGUGGAUGCUAAACAUCAUUGAAGAUGAGUACAAAGAAAGUCAUCAGAUGGAAAGACAUUUUUCAGAAGAGUAAAAUCUGAGAGGCUUGUGGGUAAGAAAAGGAGGUGUAUCCAGGGGUUGGUCUUCUUUAGGUCAGAAAACAAGAUUUUCUUCUCACCAGGAGGUCUCCAGCCUCCUCUGAGCAAGGGAAGCACCUGCUGUCUCCAUCAGAAGGGCUUUUCAGCCACUGACUGAGCCAUUUGGAAACUGGAUGCCACACUGUCUCAGAGGAAGCUGACAUUGUGAGAGUCACACUCUGAAGCAAGCCCAGGGAAGUGGACAGGGGCAAAGGGCCCCUUCCUUUUGCUUUCAUUUGCUCCCUUUUUACUUGGCACUCUUUAUCUCUAAGGCAAGAACAGGAUCCUACUUGUACUGGCUGGCUUUAUGUCAACUUGACCCAAGCUGGAGUUAUAUGAGAGGCUGGAACCUCAAUUAAGAAAAUGCCUUCCUAAAGGCUGGGCUGUGGGCAAGCCUGUGGGGCAUUUUCUUAACUAGUGCUUGACGUGGGAGGGCCCAGCCCAUUGGGAGUGGUGUAAUACCUGGCCUGGUGGUCCUGGGCUCUAUAAGAAAGCAGGCUGAACAAGCUGUGGGGGGCAAGCCAGUCAGCAGCACCUUCCAUGACCUCUGCAUC
rnacentral:lncRNA from 1 species